GUAUUAAUUCUUGUCCUGUAUCUACUAUAUCAUGUAUGGGAUAGGAGGCUAAAAGUGUUUACAGGCUCGGGUGGGUUUGCUAGGGAAAGGAUAAGACAAGUUUUGCUGGUGCUUUGCCUUGCCAAGUAAGGAUUUUUGUAUUUUGCAGGGUACUUGGGGUGGGGAGUUACCAAAACCAGGAUGAUUUUUGUCUUGUUUUCCCCCUCUGCCCUAUUACCUGGCUGAAGGUAAGUUCUAUCAAGUGUGGGACUGAAAAAGUACAAGGCCCUGAUGCAGCAGAGGCACAGGAGAGUUUACAGCUCUCCAGUGUCUCAGGCUGCCCUGGUCAGGUGAGGUCUGUGUGUCUCAGAACUGACAAGAAUAAAGCUAAUCCCAUUUUUUUCCCUUAAGCUGGCAGUCCUGAUUGCCAGGYAGGUUAGCCACAAGUGCUCCUGACCGUGGUGCUCAGGGUACAAACAACGCCUUCCUGUGGGCUACCCCCCUCCUGGACUUUCCACAAGAAUUAAUUAGCUUUAUCCUGCUUUUUAGCGCUGGCAGCUACCACUCAGGAGACCAUAAAACAGGAGAAAGGGUAGGAAGGAAGCAUCCUUUGCCAGCAUUUCCUGCUGCUUGAGUCUUUUCUCCCAUGUCUAAGAGCUAUAAAUAAUCCCGUUCCUCCAAGUGACACCAGUAAAUGCAGAGUGCCCUGGCUGGCUCCUGGAGUGGUGACAAGGCUUUGUCUUCUGCUAGAACCAUUAGGAAAGGCAGAACUCCAUGGCCUGCUGCAGAGGAGAGGGUCACAGUGAAUGGGCAAGUGAUGUUUGUCCCUGCCAAAUGUGCUCUCCUGAACCACACAGGGAACUCAUGAUUAGAUCUCUGGGAGAACACUGAGCCCACCCAGCUCCCCUGGGGAGRAGCACAAAGCACCACAACAUGGCCUAAGGGUGCAGGUUAUCUUUCUGGACUUAAAUCCUACACACUGUGCAGUCACCAUUUUAUCUCUAUACAGCAUCAUGGCGAGGGAAAAUGGCAUCACAAAACCCCCUGCAAAACAGCUGUGAGGCUGUGUCUUAUAACAUGGACACUCAGUUGGGUGUGAGGAGAAAUUUCUUCAGUGGAAGACUGUCCAGGGAAGUGGUACAGUCACCAUGCCUGCAGGAUUUUCCUGAAGCCACCGAAGGGAGAUUCGUGCUUUCCCACUGUGCCUGUAGGCAGCUGUCAAUGAUCCUCCAACAGUCCAUGACUUACCUGGAAACACCUCUGGAGAAGGUGCUUGACCCAGGAAAGAACUCGCUAAAUGGAAAAUGAACAAACACCUCCCGUAUCUACCAUGUCUUUGUAAGUUGUUUUGGUAAGUGUAAGAUGGAAGGGUGGCUUCAAACAAAAAAAAUCUGAAUUAAAACUGUCUUAAAAUCGAACAAACUAAGCUGCAGCAGUGGUAGCUUUUUUUCAGGCAAAUGAUCUGCCUUGAUUGGAUUGAAACAGCUCCCCCCGCUGUUUCCCUGGAACUCUACUCCAACCCGGGCCUAUAAAUCACGUCAGUAGAAAUCCCUGUCACACCUCAGGGAAAUCUUUCAGGCUGCAACAGAAACACAGACCACAGUUUAGAGUAUUCAAAAUAAAGACAGAAUUUCCCUCACAUUCCUGCAAUGAAUUCCUUGCUUCAUGCUAACUUGGACUCCUGAGAUGAAGAUUGAUAUAAAAGAUGCUUGAACUUGAGACUCAAGAGGAUCACAGGAUCCAGAAGAGGAAAAAAUUGUAUUUUCAUGGCCAAAAUCUCCUUUAUAAGGCCACUUAAUGGUAUCUUUAGCAUGUCUUGAAACAGGGUGAAGCUGCUUCUCGUAGCCCUUUAUUAUAUUAAAAAACAACCACAACAACAGCAACAAAACCACGACGAGAUGUUUCAAKCUACUGCAUGACUAUCUUUGGGGUUCCCUCUUUUUGUUAAGGUCUUCACAAAAUACAAAAUUAAAAUGUCUUUUCUACAUACAGAACAAAGUAGAAUCAAGUAACUGAUUAGAGUAUGUACAAAAACUUACACAUUCUGUCUUGUUCUUUAAAAAAUAUAAAUAUCAAUAAUGUUCAGUAAAAUGGGUUGGUUUUAUUUUUAAGGCUUCAUUCUCUUAGAUCCUUCAUUAUUUAAUGAGGUGCCAAGUAGGCAGAAAAGGGAGGGAAGAGAAGAGGUCAUGUUUUUUAUUAAAGGUCAUGUGUUUAAUUCCUGUGAGAUUCUUCCUCCUCUCUGGCAGGAGAAGAUUUCCUUCCACAUUGAUUUAAGUUUCCA